rnacentral:sRNA from 1 species
CAUAUCCAGAAGUUGGAUUAAUGCCACAACCGUAGAACGGUGUGGACAAAUUUGAUGGUUUUGCAAUCAGCCAUUUUUGGUGGAGGUGGCUGAUGCUGUUGCUGGUUGCUAUGCCGUGAAGUAGGCCGAAAAUUCGUUGGAAAAUCCGACCAGCCACAUUGUUGACCAUUAAGCAAGUGGUGGCCGCCAGCCAGGUGGUUUGAUGCCCAGGCAUUAGUAUGCCACGGGUACAACGGAACACCAGGAGUCCGUCCGUCGAGAAGGCCAGGGGAGCCCCAGGCUACGGUUAUCCAACGUGGAACGCCCGUUGUGUCGCCGCAAUCACUUUAGAGUCUACUGAACCGGAACUGUUUGUCGUCGGCUGAAACCAGUCCAGUUUUCCCCCUUUGAAAUCCCAAACCCGACCGACUUUCCCUGCUUCUACAUACAUACCGAGUAUAGGCCACCCCAAAGAACUCGACCCGCAUCGGAAUCAAAAUGAGCCGAGCCCAAACGGAAUGUGAGCUGAACCUUAACCCGUUUCUUCGACCCUGUUUAGAGUUCAGAGAACAAGGAAUUUUUAAUUUAAAACAAACGAGAGAAGACCCCAUCUACGCACUUAUAAGUUAUUAUAUUUUAUAACCAGAAUUUGAUCGAACUUUAAAUGUCCUCAUAUAUAUUCAGAUGACGUUUUUCCGCGCUUUAACUUUCGCAAUAAAAAUCUGUUAUUGUUUGCCCGCCCGGUUUUGCCUUCACAAAUGCCACAGUUUUGACGCAGGUGCUCAAGGGGUUAAGUCAACCACAGAGCCAUGAAUGUUGCAAAGUUGCAAGGGCGAUAUACACGUGUCCUUUAGCCCAUUUCCAUUUCCGUCUGUCCUCGCCGCCCCGAACUUCCCAACUUUUCCAUCCUCCGCCUUCCCCUCCCUCCUCCAGCUUUUCCUCUCCACGACCUCUGAUGCAUUUGCAAUGAUGUGCGGAACUUUCCGGUGGUGGUUUCGGUUUACGAGCUCCUUGUAACGGGUUACUUAAGGUGAAUGUAUUACUUUCUUCCGGCAUUUCUCACUGCAUUACGGUGCUCUUCGCCUUCCGGCUCGGCUGGCUGGCUCUCUUUUACCGGAUUGCCGUUGAAUUCUAAUGGAUAAACGUAUCUGAAAUGCAGCCAUCAUCAUCAUCAUCAUUCUCCGGCUCAUCAUCAAUCUGCACAUCGUUCUCAACCUUCUGCGGUUCUUUACCGCAUUUGAUGACGCAGUGGGGUACUUGGCCUUCUGGUUAUUAUCGCAUUAUGAAUAAUAAACCUUUGCGGAACAUAUGUACAUAUAUUGUAGCUGAUCCACUUUCACUCGAAGUGGGUUCGAGCGAUUGAAGUUCGGUUUUCAUUGGUGGGGAAUAGGGUGAAAUACAAUCCGUCUUUUUCACUUCUAUUUCCAUUAUCAUCAGCUUGUACUUUCCGCCUUUCCCAGAUGCCUUUAACUUCAUCAUCGUCGGCAGUCCUUCGCUGCAUUAUAAUUGGCAGAAUGACCUCAGACUGUCAGUUAUCCAUUUCCAUUUCCAUUUUCUUUGCCUUUUAUUUAGCUGCCAGUUAGUUUCGCACUGGCUCUCUGGACAGUUUUCCCCGGAGUCGAAUGGAUUUCCUCCUUUUUCCGAGCAGCAAAAGAAAACCAGUGUACAGCACAGUCCAGAUUUUCUAUUUUCUGCUCACGGCGAUUGCUUAGAAAUGUUCACACCUCACUAUCUAUAAAACUGUAUCUGUAAGUGUACCUGUAUCUGUAUCUGUAACUGUGAAACGGAAUCUGCAUCUGUAUCUGUGCGUUAGACUCUGCUGCUUCUGGUUUUGAUUUAUUUCGGCAUUCUUAUCGCAUUUAUUCCAACGCCUUACAGCUGUAACAAAACAAAGAGCUCUAUCUCAUCCACUGGCAUUUGCAUACAAUUUUUAGAAUGCAAAUAAAACCGGAACGUAGCGACUCUCAGCACGUGCUAGGGAUUUAUGUUAAUCGCUCAGAGACGUAGAGCUCUUGGGCAAAAAAAAAUGAAAAAAUAGGCGGGAUGCGGCGAGGUGGCAAGUGGGGGAAAAGUGGGUCUUAGAAGAUGGAGAAACCUCAAGAAUCGCUGGGGUAAUUAAUUAAACCGACGUUUAUUAUGAACUGCAAGCCGCACUCUGUUCAUUUAUUCCUCGCUUAUGCAGUUUAAGUCAUUUCUCCCACACUCUUAAUUAAUCUGCGUCGAAAGCAAGUUUUCCGUCUUCAAUUUCAAUCGCUAAAAUGUGCUUUAAGUUUUUCUUGGAAAACGCAAAGUUUGCUUACAAACACUUAAAGGCAAAGUUGGCUGGACAAACACGACACUUUCUGCAUAGAUUUCAAUUAUUUGCGUCUACAAAUCGAACAAAGGAAAAUACGAUAUAUUUAUUUAUCUACACCAUGGAAUAAAGGUUGCAGCUGUCCAAACAAAACUUGGUUUGCAUGAUUCCCAUUACGGCGCCGAGCUAUAAACACCGGAAUGGAACUAACAAUUGGCCAAUUUUAAUGAUCGGACGCCAUAGCCACUGUAUAUGUAUGUAUAUGCACAGGAAUCUGAAUCUAAUCGACUCGCAUCGAAUAUCAAAACGACAGCUCACCUUCCACCUGCGGGCAACCCAUCUCGAAUUUAUAUAGAAAAUCCACUUAGCAACGUGAUUGCAUUAAGUAAUUAAUGGGUGGUGCCAUAUUCGAGAGUUAGAAGCAUACAUACAUAUAGAGAAGUAGAAGAAGAUAUAGAUGAACAAAUUGCCAUUGGGUCACAAAAUGUUUCGAUACAAGAAAUGAAUAUUCAAGCAACUCUUCUACAAUCGUCACUCGCUCUGCCAAAAACUUUCUUAAACUUUGCGUGAAAUCGUGCCUAAUUAAAAAUUGAAAUUAAUAUUUAAAAAAAAAGUGGAAGCAAACAGGCGGAGGCUUGGUAGAUAAAGAGCAUCGGAAUCGAAACGGAAAUAGACAUUCAACAGGAAAUUAUUGGACUGAGAACAAAUAAAAAAAAAAAUUCGUCAACGUGAUUGCCACUUAAUCCGCUCAAUAAACAGACGAGUGAUAAAAAAAAUUAACGCUUUUCUGACUGGUUGCUCUGACGUCUGGCCAUGAGCAGAAUUGACUCGAAAUUAAUGGGAAAUGUACGCAAAAUGCGGCUCUGAUUAGAGAAUAAAUCAUGGAAAACGUCAGAAGAAGAGGGCAAACAAAAGGCAAAGACGGCUCAAAAUGCCCAGCGUCAUUGACAUUGGCCGACAAGGGGUUAAGAGCAGGCAUAAUUGCAAAUGAGUAAUGGUUAAAAGCAACGUUUGCCAAUUGAAUUCUAUCGAUUUCUUUUCCGAAGAAAACGCCGAAGAAAGAGAGGUCUAGUGCCGCGUAGAAAGAGACGAAUUGCAGCUACCAUUUCUUGGGCUCUUUAAGGCUACACUGGAAAACAAACAGCAGAUGUUCCUGUCUGUGGCACAGAAUUCAACUCAUAUAGAAAACUUGGAAUACCUUAAUACCUAAGACAUAACUUUCUCUGCAUUUUCCAAUAAAAUUUCCGAAGAA